rnacentral:lncRNA from 1 species
AAGCCAAGAUGGUAAAGCUGUUUGACAACUGGAUUUGGGUCGGGCUUUCCAGCACCAAAGAAACCCCACUUUCCACAGGCCACUUCCCUCCAUUUGGCCUAUGGCGGGUGACGUGCUUCCAUGGUUGGGCAGCAGAAUUGGUGAGAGUAUUAUUCUCGAAAUCCAGCUGAAGCAACGUUCCUGCUCCAUUUCCCAAGGGAGUGGGAGGCUUCAUUGGGGAGGGGUGCCUGGAAGGCAUUGGCCAUUCAGUCAAGGAGUGUUGAGAUGGUGGUGAUACGCUCAACACAUUGAAAUGACGUCCAGCCUGUGGUGUGGAGAAGGUAGGCAUGGGUACUUUCCCCAGUAGAUUGUGCAAGUUUUUAAUCUGUUUGCUAAGAAGAUAACAAUUUCAGGCAGAGUAAUAAAAUAGACAAUAACUGAUUUUCCGGACCUAUACAGGCCGUCGGUAAAUAGACCCAAUAUAUAAAUACACCAAAUACAAAAAAAUAUAUUAAACAAAAUAGACUCCAGCCUGUUAAACUUAACUUUCUUCUACAAACAAUUCAGUCUCAAACAAAUGUGUGCGCUCUCUCUCUUUCCAGUGACCCUAACCUUCAUGGGAUAGUUCAGGGAAAUUACAUAUUUAGAUAUGUUUCCUUGAAAGCAGUCUAGGUACAAUGAGUGACUGCAAUCCACACUGCAAUCCAAAUCAUCUGUUAAAUGGAUUGUGUUGCUCAAUGGUUCAGAUGAUUUUGGCAGAACAUUUUAAAUGGGGAUACUAUUUGGUCCCAAAAUGCUAAUAUUACCCGUAGCUAGUUUAACAAAACCAAAUUGUGGAUUGCAGUCAUUUAAGGUAAGAAUUUCUAAAUAUGUCGUUUCACUGAACUAUCCCUUUAAAGAGAUAGUUCACACAGCUACAUCUUGAUUGCUUAUAGUAGAAAUGCAGUGUUUCUGUAUUAUUAUUUCGUAAUAUGAUAGCAUAUUUGUCUAACAUAAAGGGCCGGUGGGAACCAUUCAUUGGAUCCAUGAAUUGUCAUCAGUGCCCUUAUCAAGAUAAUAUUGAUAUUAAUAUUCUCAAAUAUAUUUUGAAGGCUACACAGCAAUUGAAAGAAGGAUCUACUGUAAAGAUUUUGUAUUAACAUUUGACUGAAUUGUCAGAGUGACCUGCUAUACAGUUAGAUAGACAGCCAAUCUGGUUUAGAAAGCAUGUGAUUUUUAUAGAGACUGUCCAAACAUAGAGCAAUGUCUCCACACAUUACGGACCUGCUAAAUGAGUUGGUUAGUGAAUUCAUUAUUUGAUUUACUGUAACUAUGCCCUCAGUUCACAAACAGAUUUUUAACCUCAUUCUUUAUAUCCAGCACCAUACCAAUCUAUGUGAAAACGGUGCAUUUCUAAGUUUUGUAGUCAGGAAGAUGGAAAAGGUUUUCAGCAAUUACUCCCGGUGAUGUAAUUUUCUAAUAAAAACGUUUCCUUCGUAAGAAAUCAAAAAACAGUCGUUGCUUAACAAAUCAAACCUCGGUACGGAUUCUCUCUGGUUUGUUUGCCAUUCUGUGACCUGAACUGCGUCAAUUAAUUACACCUUUCAUUUUGACAACUUAAUUGAUUUACUUUAAUUUGACUUGUUUACUGUAUACAGAAAGAACACUCAGGUCUACUGUUAGUAGCUAAUCAAAUCACACCAAUGUCUUAGUGCCACAGCACAUUGUGAGCAUGUGUCUUAAACGUCUUAAACCCUAUUAGAGAUGAAUGUACUUAACCGUUAUGGCCCCAAUGCAGUAGAACUAACUGUUUAUGUAAAGAGCUUUUCUUUUUUCCUGCUUAUGUUUUUCAGUGUAUGCUGUUAUAUGGUACUGUAGAUGCAAGUUGCUAAGAUAAGCUUGGAGACACUUUUCCCACCACACGCUGAGCAAGCCUGAUCAUAUGUACCUUGUUGUCAGCCCUCUCUUAUACAGUAGGAGGACGGACCAGGUAUUACUAUAACCACAUCAGCAAUGUACAUAUUUCAAUGACUGUGCAAUUACAUGUUUUAUUUUUCUCUUCUGUAAAUUGGAGAAAUAGAAUCGACAAACUGC